CUCACCGCAACACAGUCACCGCCGCCAUGUCCGUCUCUUCCUCUGCUGCGAAGGUGGCACCGAAGACGCUCAACCAGUUCCGCAACUUCUCGUAUCUUGUGGUCGCAUGGCUCGGCUUCAACAAGGGCUUCCGUGAGAAGGCCGCCAACGAUGCGGAGUGGGUCGCCCACCAGCAGCGGGUGCGUCAGCAAAACGUGGAGCGCCACCAGGCUGCCCAGGCCAUGGCGGAGGCGAAACAGAAUGCCGAGCUCGAGACGACUAUUCCGGCGAUGGUGCCGGAGGGCCUGCAUGAGGUGUACAAGGACGUGGAGAAGGCCAUGCACUAGAAGUCUCUGAUUCCGCCGCGCAGAUGGCGCGCCGCUGAUGGUGUAGAGGAGUAGCCGCACAAAUGCAGCCAACUUCGCCUCACCUACCCGCCUGCUUCUCUCCACCAUUACCUGGUAUCGAUGGACCUUUCCCCGUUAUCCGUCGAAGUCGAUGCAGCGUGUUGCCUCUCCUUUGGAGAAGCGGUGGCUGGUGCUUAGGCUCGUAGGCGUCCUCAUACAUCUAUGAGUUCGUGCACAGCCAAACAACUGCCGCUGCCGCCGCCACAUCUGCAGGAAGGACCCAACAACAAUCCCCCCCCCAAACAUGUGCAACUUAGUAGGAGGUAGAAUACCACGACCGGAGCCGUAUGCAUUGCAAAGUCGGCUUCCCGCUGCCCUUGCCUCUCUGCCUGCCUCCACACCCACACCGACUUCCGGCAUGUAACUGUCUUCUUGUACCUCUCUCUCGCGCGCGCGCUACCAGGCAGGCCCACGGGAUGGGCACCGAGUGGACUGGCACGAAGCCGUGGCCGCAUGCCAGGACAGCAUGCCAAGUAGUGCUGUCCGAGAGAGCGGCACGAUUGCACGAUGCCAAGCGCUUUGCAGUGGCGAACGGCGGGAGGCCUCGAAGAAGAACGGGCAAAAGGCAGGAGAGGACCGACCGAAAAGAGGAAGGAUGGCGCGUAUUUCUACGUAGGGAGUACGCACACGCACACGCACACGCACACGCACACGCACAGCCACCCCACACUGUCUCACCUAGCACCCAAAAAGAGCGUGAGAGAUGCAUCCGGGGUCACUUUGUGUGCGUGCGUAUGUGUGCGUAUCUGUGUGUGCAUGUGUACGCUCGAACACAUUCGUUUCAUUGUGUAGCACGUAACAGGCAAGCAAGCACGUAAACACGAACAGAAAAAUAAGGGCGCGGAAGGAGGACUACGCAAUCCGCGAAGCGGCUGCUCUCCGUGCUGCCUGGUUGCCUUCAUUUUUUCAACGACCUCACUCGCAGAGCCGUUUGCC
rnacentral:misc_RNA from 1 species